rnacentral:lncRNA from 1 species
UCGGAAUAAAGUGUUGCCACCAAUGAGAGAGAAAGCAAAAUGCACCUAUGAAGGAUAAGAAUACGAAAAUAAUUGGUCAAAAUAAACGAAAAUCGUACAUUAAAUAGUUAAAUAGCAUGCAUUUGUAUGAAAUGAAAGAAAGAUUACAUGUGAUGGUCGUCAAACUUCGUUCGAGAAAAGUUUGAGUAGAGAAGAGGGUCUUGCGUGCUAAGAUAAAGUGAAUGAAUUUUCAAUCUCCCGCUCAAAUUUUAUUCAAUUCACUGACUAACGUCUAACGUUGGGGGCAUUUGACGUUUUAUAUCCUUUUACGUCGAAUUACAAUUUUGAACAACGUUUAAUAAUUACAUUUAUUUACAAAAAUGUCACCGGUU